rnacentral:misc_RNA from 1 species
UUUUUGCAGGAUAUGCAAUUCCAAUAUUUCAAAAGCUUGCAUAAAACAAAGCAUUUCAUUUGCCAAAAAUAAAGGUGUUCAAAUAAAAGUAAAGAUUUGAAUGACUGAGAACAACAGAAGUAAACCUAUAAAUCAUAGACCCAAGAAAUCCUAUCAUGGCUACACUAGAGAGAGUAGUAAAAAUAAACCAAAGCUUGAAACUUAAGAGCAUCCUCAUGUUCUGUGACAGAAAUUUAUAACUUAAAAGAAAACAGAAUAGUUGUCAGACAAUGCCAUUGCCAUGGAGGAUCAGGAAAACAGUAUGUCACUAAGUGGCAACCCAAAAACUGUAAAGAAAUGGGAGAGGAAUUUCUAUAAAAUCAGAUGGGGAAACAUCAAUUAUUUGACCAUAAUAAGUAGUCCAACAAGAUGAUAGGAUUUUUUUUCACCCAAGUAUUGGAAUUUUGCAAUUGAUUACCUUAAGGCAAACUUGAGUUAGAAUGAUUAGCAUUCAGAACCAGAGUUCAAGGGCUUCUGAUAGACGGAUACAACCAAACACCACCAGUUCCUCUUUUAUUUUUUCCCCUCUUAAUCUGUACAUAGUUUGUCUAAAUGCUUAACACAAACUAAUCACCCAGAUGCAAAGAAACUUGACCAACGCAUUCUUAAUCUUAGCAGGAAAAUUUCAUUCAGACAGAAUGUCAGACCACACACCUAAUAACAAGUUCAAGUCAAAAGAACAAAAUGCAUGGGACCUACCAGG